rnacentral:rRNA from 1 species
CCUACGGGUGGCAGCAGUGGGGGAUAUUGCACAAUGGGGGGAACCCUGAUGCAGCGACGCCGCGUGGGUGAAGAAGCGCCUCGGCGUGUAAAGCUCUGUCAGCAGGGAAGAAAAUGACGGUACCUGAAGAAGAAGCCACGGCUCACUACGUGCCAGCAGCCGCGGUAAUACGUAGGGGGCAAGCGUUAUCCGGAUUUACUGGGUGUAAGGGGGGCGGAGACGGCGAUGCAAGCCAGGAGGGAAAGCCCGGGGCCCAACCCCGGGACUGCACUUGAAACUGCGUGGCUGGAGUACAGGAGGGGCAGGCGGAAUUCCUGGUGUAGCGGUGAAAUGCGUAGAUAUCAGGAGGAACACCGGUGGCGAAGGCGGCCUGCUGGACUGCAACUGACGUUGAGGCCCGAAAGCGUGGGGAGCAAACAGGAUUAGAUACCCGAGUAGUC